UGGGGAAUCUUGGACAAUGGGGGCAACCCUAAUCCAGCCAUGCCGCGUGGGUGAUGAAGGCCUUAGGGUCGUAAAGCCCCUUCGCCGGGGAAGAUAAUGACGGUACCCGGUAAAGAAGCCCCGGCUAACUCCGUGCCAGCAGCCGCGGUAAUACGGAGGGGGCUAGCGUUGUUCGGAAUGACUGGGCGUAAAGCGCGCGUAGGCGGAUCGGAAAGUUGGGGGUGAAAUCCCGGGGGCUCAACCUCGGAAUGGCCUUCAAAGCUCCGUCUGAGUCGAGAGAGGUGAGUGGAAUUGCCGAGUGUAGAAGGUUGAAACUUCGUAGAUGAUUCAGGAGGAACACCAUGUGGGCGAAGGCGGCUCACUGGCUCGACACUGACGCUGAGGUGCGAAAGCGU
rnacentral:rRNA from 1 species